rnacentral:snoRNA from 1 species
AACCCAUGAUGAGGGCACCUUCUCAAAAGAUCUUUAAAUCUCCCCCAUGUAUCAUACAAUGUCUCCAUAUCAAAUUGAACAAAAGAAGAGAUAUUGUUUCUUAACUU